AGAACGAACGCUGGCGGCAGGCUUAACACAUGCAAGUCGAACGCUCGUAGCGAUACGAGAGUGGCAGACGGGUGAGUAACACGUGGGAACGUUCCCCUCGGUUCGGAAUAACUCAGGGAAACUUGAGCUAAUACCGGAUACGUCCGCGAGGAGAAAGAUUCAUCGCCGAGGGAUCGGCCCGCGUCUGAUUAGCUAGUUGGUGAGGUAACGGCUCACCAAGGCGACGAUCAGUAGCUGGUCUGAGAGGAUGACCAGCCACACUGGGACUGAGACACGGCCCAGACUCCUACGGGAGGCAGCAGUGGGGAAUCUUGGACAAUGGGCGCAAGCCUGAUCCAGCCAUGCCGCGUGAGUGAUGAAGGCCCUAGGGUUGUAAAGCUCUUUCGGCGGGGACGAUAAUGACGGUACCCGCAGAAGAAGCCCCGGCUAACUUCGCGCCAGCAGCCGC
rnacentral:rRNA from 1 species